UAAAGCGUGCGCAGGCGGUUAUGUAAGACAGAUGUGAAAUCCCCGGGCUCAACCUGGGAACUGCAUUAGUGACUGCAUAGCUGGAGUACGGCAGAGGGGGAUGGAAUUCCGCGUGUAGCAGUGAAAUGCGUAGAUAUGCGGAGGAACACCGAUGGCGAAGGCAAUCCCCUGGGCCUGUACUGACGCUCAUGCACGAAAGCGUGGGGAGCAAACAGGAUUAGAUACCCUAU
rnacentral:rRNA from 1 species